rnacentral:rRNA from 1 species
AUUGAACGCUGGCGGCAUGCUUUACACAUGCAAGUCGAACGAGUGGCGGACGGGUGAGUAAUAUAUCGGGACGUACCGAAUAAAGGGGGAUAACUAAUCGAAAGGGUAGCUAAUACCGCAUAUUAUUGGAUCGGCCCAUAUUUGAUUAGCUAGUUGGUGGGGUAAAGGCCUACCCAGGCGACGAUCGUUAGCGGGUCUGAGAGGAUGAUCAGCCACACUGGGACUGAGACACGGCCCAGACUCCUACGGGAGGCAGCAGUGGGGAAUGUUGGACAAUGGGCGCAAGCCUGAUCCAGCCAUGCCGCGUGUCUGAAGAAGGCCUUCGGGUUGUAAAGUACUUUUGUCAGGGAAGCGGUACCUGAAGAAGAAGCACCGGCUAACUCCGUGCCAGCAGCCGCGGUAAUAC